rnacentral:ncRNA from 1 species
UGACCUCGGAUCAGACGUGAUUACCCGCUGAAUUUAAGCAUAUUAUUAAGCGGAGGAAAAGAAACUAACAAGGAUUCCCCUAGUAACGGCGAGUGAACGGGGAAGAGCCCAACACCGAAUCCCUUGGCGCAAGUCAACGGGAAAUGUGGUGUUAAGGUAGCCCUUCGUGUCAGUCUAGGCGUCUCAAGUCCACCUGAUUGUGGCUCAAGCCCAGAGAGGGUGUAAGGCCCGUAGAGACGCUCCGACUGAUUCCUGGGGUUUACCUACGAGUCGGCUUGUUUGGGAAUGCAGGCCAAAGCGGGUGGUAAACUCCAUCCAAGGCUAAAUACUGGCACGAGUCCGAUAGCGGACAAGUACCGUGAGGGAAAGUUGAAAAGAACUUUGAAGAGAGAGUUCAAUAGUACGUGAAACCGCUUAGAGGCAAACGGAUGGUGCUCAUACUGGCCUGAGGAAUUCAACUGUGACGGUGGCUGGACGAGCUGGCGUUCCGAUCUCUCUUUUGGGACGGGCGUCGGUUUGGCUAUCAGCUCCGACAUGGUGCACUUUCCUUGGUGCCUCCGCCACGACCGACGACACUGGCUACCCGCGGCUGGGGUAAGGUGACAAACUGCUUCGGCAAUUUGUGUUAUAGACCCCGGCGUCGGACAUGGUUUUGGCCAGGACGUCGAGCUUGCGGCGCCCGCUCCUUGUGGGCUCGCAUGUUGGCUAGCUUGGCUGCGCCGAUGCUUGCACUGGACAACCAGUACAGGUGACGGUUGUGGUCUUGUCUCUAGUUGGCCUCUGCGAGUUUGGCGCCUAUAGUCUGUGGUGUACUUGUGGGUAGACUAUCCGACCCGUCUUGAAACACGGACCAAGGAGUCUAACAUGUGCGCGAGUCAUGGGGAUUCUACGAAACCAAAGGCGCAGUGAAAGUAAAGGCCUGCUUCUCGUAGGCUGAGGUGGGAUCUCGUGCAUCGCGAUUGGCGAGCGCACCACCGGCCGUCCUAUCUGUCUCUGUCAGUGGGGCGGCGCAAGAGCGUACACGUUGGGAACCGAAAGAUGGUGAACUAUGCUUGCGCAGCUCGAAGUCAGUGGAAACACUGAUGGAGGAGCGCAGCGUUUCUGACGUGCAAAUCGAUCGUCAAACGUGAGUAUAGGGGGCGAAAGACUAAUCGAACCAUCUAGUAGCUGGUUCCCUCCGAAGUUUCCCUCAGGAUAGCUGGCACUCGGGAAACAGUUUUAUCCGGUUAAGCGAAUGAUUAGAGGCAUUGGGGUCGAAACGACCUCGACCUAUUCUCAAACUUUAAAUGGGUAAGAUGCUCGUCUCGCUUAAUUGGAGGCGGGCUUCACCUCUCUAUAAACGUGAAUGUGAGUGCCCAGUGGGGCCAUUUUUGGUAAGCAGAACUGGCGCUGUGGGAUGAACCAAACGCGCGGUUAAGGCGCCCAAUGCGGACGCUCAUGAGACACCACAAAAGGUGUUGGUCGAUACUGACAGCAGGACGGUGGCCAUGGAAGUCGGAACCCGCUAAGGAGUGUGUAACAACUCACCUGCCGAAUCAACCAGCCCUGAAAAUGGAUGGCGCUGGAGCGUCGGGCCUAUACCGUGCCGUUGGGGCGAAGCAGACAAAUAAUCUGUGUGGAUGUCCCAACGAGUAGGAGGUCGUCGCCGUGGUGAGCGCAGAAGGUGCGGCCGUGAGGCCGGCUGGAGCCGCCACGGGCGCAGAUCUUGGUGGUAGUAGCAAUUACUCAAGUGAGAACCUUGAGGACUGAAGGUGAGAAGGGUUCCAUGUGAACAAAGCAGUUGAACAUGGGUCAGGCGGUCCUAAGCGAUCGGGUAACUCCGUACCUAGACGAGGGUGACAACUAUCACUGAUAUACUGUGAGGAGUGUUAUAGCCCUCCGGAGCGAAAGGGAAAUCGUGUUAAUAUUUCGACGACCCUUACCGUGGAGAUCGCCCUUCGGGGGCAAGUGCGGUAACGCAAACGAACACAGAGACGUCGGCUGGAGCCCCGGAA